rnacentral:rRNA from 1 species
UACAGAGGGUGCAAGCGUUGUUCGGAAUCAUUGGGCGUAAAGGGCGUGUAGGCGGUUUGUUAAGUCAUGUGUGAAAUCCCUCGGCUCAACCGGGGAACGACGCUUGAAACUGGCAAGCUAGAGUACCAAAGAGGGCGGUGGAAUUCCCGGUGUAGCGGUGAAAUGCGCAGAUAUCAGGAGGAACACCGGUGGCGAAGGCGGAUCUCUGGGACGUUACUGACGCUGAGACGCGAAAGCGUGGGGAGCAAACAGG